UUGUUACCUUCUUGAGACCUGAGAAAAAGGCCUACCUCUUUAGGACCACCCUUUUAAAAAAGCUUUCAGUUACUUUUUAUUUUUAUUUUUUGUUUGUAAUUGGUUUUUAAUCUUCAUUAUUUACUAUGUUAUUACAGUAUGUCUCUAUAUACGUAUUUAUUUUAUUAUUUUUUUAUAUACAUUUUUGCCAAAAAGGGUGCAUUUCAAUUUCUUACACACACUUGUUAUUUCAAAUGUUGACCAGAGGGGGAGCACUUUUAAAACCGACACACAGUCCAUUUGAAAAAUCCUUCCUUUUUUUUUUUUUUUUUAUAGAUUUCACCCAUAGGAGUGCAAAUGAGACAUUCUCUAUUAGAUGCUUGUUCACACCUCCUCAUAUGGAAGGUACUUGUCCUUGUUAAUGUCUCAAGAAGGGUAGAAAUACAAGAACACACGUAUUUGUUACCUUCUUGAGAUCUGAGAAAAAUGCCUACCUCUUUAGGACCACAAUUUCUAGAUAUAUAAAUAUUUAUAUGUACAACUUUAAUAAUAGAUACAAACUAUGCAAAUAUAAAAAAGAUAAGCUUUUAGUUAUUUUUUUUAUUUUUUGUUUGUAAUUGGUUUUAAGUCUUCAUUAUUUACUUCGUUAUUACAAAUGUCUCUAAAUACUUAUUUAUUUGAUUUUUUAAAAUUAAUUUUGGCCAAAGGGAGUGCAUUUCAAUUUCUUACACACACUUGUUAUUUCAAAUGUUGACCAGAGGGGGAGCACUUUUAAAACCGACACAGUCAAUUUGAAAAAUCCUUCCUUUUUGGAACUGUCCUAAUUUUGAUAGAUGUUGCCACCAGGGGUGGAAAUGAGACAUUCUCUAUUAGAUGCAAUGAUUUUCCGUAUCGGGACCAUGAUUUAUGUCCAUAUGGAAGCUACUUUUCCUUGUGGAUGUCUCAAGAAGGUUAGAAAUACAAGAACACACACAGCAUGUGUACACAAAUGAAUAGACUACAGCAAGUACACACGCUGUUUCCUUAAUCAAGUACAAUUGUUGUGUUUUAUGUUAUCACUGCUCCGCUUCUUUUUACACUUAAAUGACAGUUAAAAUUGGCAGCAGUUUGACCCUGGAACAGAUUAUUUUGGUUCCCACGGCUUCCUUUGAGAAGAACUGUACGCACAGCUAGAGGCUCAACUGGCACUCACGCACUCUUAUCUUUUACUCUCAUUCUAUUUUUAACGUCUUCUCUCUCUCUCCCUCUCUCUCUCUCUUUCUCAUUUUGCUGUCUGUCACUCUUUUGCUCCCGUUUGUCACUUGCUCUUUUGUGUGCUUUCCUCAGUCUCAUCCUUUUUUCCUCCUCUCUCCUUUCCUCUCGCUCGUUUUUCUCUUUCUCUCUGUCUCUCACUUGCUAUUUUCAUUUCACGGCCCAAAGUGUCACUCUUCAUUAGCCCCGCCCCCUUUGUUGCCAGGCAGUUUUAUUCAGAUAACAUGGCUUCAGCAUCUUCAAUGUACAACACACACUUUGACAAACACAUCAUUUUGUUUACGUCGGCAGUCGUCUCGCCAUGAUUUGUCUCUUGUGGCUUGAUGUGUUUGCCGGGGGUCACGACCUCUCCCUGCCUGCGGCACCUCCAUGCUUUUAUUGCCUCCACGUGACCUCCAACUGGGGCGUCGCCUCAGCCGUCACAGAGGAAGACGAGCAUGCGGAUGUGUUGCCGAUGUGGAGUGCAGAGGAAGGGGAUGCACGUCACCAGCGCAGAAGGCAGGACAUAAACGGCCCAGUUCGGCGUGGCUGAAAGGAAGAGAUGGAGACGACAGCUAAAGGGACACACAGAAAAGUUAAAAUGGCACAAAGGAAAGACAAAAAAUGCGAAAUGUACACAAAAGGACGAAAGAGAGACAAGGAAAAGCUAAAUGGAAACAAAAAAGCAAAGGAGAAACAAACGCAAAGAAAAGCUAAAGAAACAAAUAAUAAGCUAAAGGGACACAAAUAAAUGCGAAAGGGACACAGAAAAGCUAAAGAAACACAAAGAAAAGCUAAAAUGACCGAAUGAAGACAGAAAGGGACGGAAAGAAAAACUGAAGGGACAAAAAGAAAAGCUGAAGGGACACAAAAAAACUGGAAGAAAAUGUACAAGAACAAAAGCCAAAGGGACGGAAAGAAAAGCUGAAGAGACACAAAGAAACACAAAGAAAAGCUAAAGGGACAGAAAGAAAAGCAGAAGGGACACGAAUAAAAGCUAAAGGGACAGAAAUAAAAGCUAAAGGGAAGCAAAGAAACAAAGAAAAGCUGAAGGGACAGAAAGAAAAGCUAAAAAAAACACAUACAAAAGCUGAAGGGACACAAAGAAAAGCUAAAAAAAACACAAAGAAAAGCUAAAGGGACUCAAGGAAAAGCCAAAGGGACACAAAGAAAAGCCAAAAAAAAAAACACAAAGAAAAGCUAAAGGGACAGAAAGAAAUCCUGAAGGGACACAAAUAAGCACCAAACAUAAAGAAAAUCUAAAAGGAAACAAAAACAAAGCUAAAGGGACACAAAUAAAUGCGAAAGGGACACAGAGAAGCUAAAGAAACACAAAGAAAAGCUAAAAUGACCGAAUGAGGACAGAAAGGGACGGAAAGAAAAACUGAAGGGACAAAAAGAAAAGCUGAAGGGACACAAAAAAACAGGAAGAAAAUGUACAAGAACAAAAGCCAAAGGGACGGAAAGAAAAGCUGAAGAGACACAAAGAAACACAAUGAAAAGCUAAAGGGACAGAAAGAAAAGCUGAAGGGACACAAAUAAAAGCUAAAGGGACAGAAAUAAAAGCUAAAGGGAAGCAAAGAAACAAAGAAAAGCUGAAGGGACAGAAAGAAAAGCUAAAAAAACACAUACAAAAGCUGAAGGGACACAAAGAAAAGCUAAAAAAAAACACAAAGAAAAGCUAAAGGGACUCAAGGAAAAGCCAAAGGGACACAAAGAAAAGCCAAAAAAAAAAAACACAAAGAAAAGCUAAAGGGACAGAAAGAAAUCCUGAAGGGACACAAAUAAGCACCAAACAUAAAGAAAAUCUAAAAGGAAACAAAAACAAAGCUAAAGGGACAAAAAUAAACAGCAAACAUAAAGACAAUCUAAAGGGACACAAAAAAGCUAAAGGGACACAAAAAACACCAAACAUAAAAGAAAAUCUAAAGUGACACAAAGAAAAGCUUGAAGGGACAUAAAAGCUAAAGAGACACAAAGGAAAGCCAAAAACCCCACAAAUAAAAGCUAAAGGGACAGAAAGAAAACCCGAAGUGACACAAAUAAACACCAAAGAUAAAGAAAAGCUAAAUGGAAACAAAAAAGCAAAGGAGAAACAAACGCAAAGAAAAGCUAAAGAAACAAAUAAUAAGCUAAAGGGACACAAAUAAAUGCGAAAGGGACACAGAGAAGCUAAAGAAACACAAAGAAAAGCUAAAAUGACCGAAUGAGGACAGAAAGGGACGGAAAGAAAAACUGAAGGGACAAAAAGAAAAGCUGAAGGGACACAAAAAAACAGGAAGAAAAUCUAAAGGGACAGAAAGAAAAGCUGAAGGGACACAAAUAAAAGCUAAAGGGACAGAAAUAAAAGCUAAAGGGAAGCAAAGAAACAAAGAAAAGCUGAAGGGACAGAAAGAAAAGCUAAAAAAACACAUACAAAAGCUGAAGGGACACAAAGAAAAGCUAAAAAAAAACACAAAGAAAAGCUAAAGGGACUCAAGGAAAAGCCAAAGGGACACAAAGAAAAGCCAAAAAAAAAACACAAAGAAAAGCUAAAGGGACAGAAAUAAAUCCUGAAGGGACACAAAUAAGCACCAAACAUAAAGAAAAUCUAAAAGGAAACAAAAACAAAGCUAAAGGGACAAAAAUAAACAGCAAACAUAAAGACAA